GACGAACGCUGGCGGCGUGCCUAAUACAUGCAAGUCGAACGCAGUGGGGACGGGUGAGUAACACGUGGGUAACCUCCCAUCAGAGGGGAUAAAACUUGGAAAAAGGUGCUAAAACGAUACUGAUGGAUGAACCCGCGGUGCCUUAGCUAGUUGGUUAGGUAACGGCUUACCAAGGACACGAUGCAUAGCUGACCUGAGAGGGUGAUCGGCCACACGGGGACUGAGACACGGCCCAGACUCCUACGGUAGGCAGCAGUAGGGAAUCUUACGCAAUGGACGAAAGUCUGACCGAGAAACGCCGCGUGAGUGAAGAAGGUUUUCGGAUCGUAAAACUCUGUUGUUUGAGAAGCGGUAUCUAACCAGAAAGCCACGGCUAACUACGUGCCAGCAGCCGCGGUAAUAC
rnacentral:rRNA from 1 species